rnacentral:rRNA from 1 species
GAUGAACGCUGGCGGCGUGCCUAAUACAUGCAAGUCGAGCGAACGGACGAGAAGCUUGCUUCUCGGAUGUUAGCGGCGGACGGGUGAGUAACACGUGGAUAACCUACCUAUAAGACUGGGAUAACUUCGGGAAACCGGAGCUAAUACCGGAUAAUAUUUUGAACCGCAUGGUUCAAAAGUGAAAGACGGUCUUGCUGUCACUUCUAGAUGGAUCCCCGCUGCAUUAGCUGGUUGGUAAGGUAACGGCUUACCAAGGCAACGAUGCAUAGACGACCUGUGAGGGUGAUAGGCGACCCGGGAACGGGGACGCGGACAAGAGGCCUACGGGACGCAGCAGUAGGGAACCUUCCGCAACGGGCGAGAGCAUGACGGAGCGGCGCGGCGUGAGAGAUGGAGGUCUUCCGAGCGGAAAACCCGGUUACUAGGGAAGAACAGAUGUGGAAGUAACUGUGCACAUCUUGACGGUAACGAAUCAGAAAGCCACGGCUAACUACGUG